GUGAAGGAAGGGGACGAGGAGGGGGAAUUUACGUAGGUAAAAGAGGGGAAUCGGUAAUAGACUACGUAAUAGUAAACGGAUUAGCAGAAGAAGACGUAGAAACAUUCAAGAUAGGAGGAAGAGUAGACUCCGAUCACAUGCCAUUAGAAGUAAAAGUGAGGGGCAUAAGUGGAGGGAGCGGAUGCUUAAGGAAUGAAGUAGGAAAAGAGAAGAAGAUAUGGGGAUGGAAUGAAAACGGAAUUGAGCAUUAUGAAAAAAAAAUGUUGGAAGUGGAAUUUAAAGAAAAAGGAACUGAAAAGAAAAUGGAAGAAUUAAAAAGAGAAAUUGAAAAAGCAGCCAUAAGAAAAGAAAUUGUAACGACAAAUUCAGAAAAGAGAAACAGAUGGUGGGAUAGCAGAUGCAGAGAUUUAAAAACAGAAGCAAGGAAAUGUUUACGAAGGUGGAAAAAGGAGAAAGGUAUAAAAGAAGAGUACUGGCAAGCAAAAAAUGAUUAUAGAAAACGAUGCAAAGAAAAGAAAGAAGAGAUACAGCAAGAAGAAGAAGAAAAAAUUAAAGCCAUAAGAACUGAGCAAGAGGUAUGGCAGUAUAUAAAUAAAGAACGGAAGAACAAAAUAACGAUUAGUGAAGACAUACCUAUAAUACAGUGGAAGAAGCAUUUUAUGAAGUGCAAGAUAGUAAAACCGGGAUUGGGGGUAGAGAAAGGCAAGCGGAGAUUCGAGUAGAGGAAGUAGGAAAACAAGUAGGAAGACUGAAGGGGAAAAGCACCGGGGAGGGAUGGGUUGGUAAACGAAGUGUGGAUAUUUGGGAUGGAUGGGAUGAUUGAAAGAUUGAGGCGAGUUAAUGAAUGAUGUGUGGACGGGUAAAGGUUUUCCCAGGGAAUGGAGAGUAGGACAAAUAUGCCCAAUUCAUAAAAAGGGUAGUAAAGAAAAAGUAGAGAAUUAUCGGGAAAUAAUUCUCCUAAAUACGGCAUAUAAACUGUACGCAAUGGUAUUAAAUGAAAGGUUGGUGACAGAGAUGAACGAAAAGAGUAUAUUACCGGAAAGUCAAGCGGGAUUUAGAAGAGGUAGAGGGGCUAUGGACAAUGUAUAUAUCCUGCAUCAUCUAAUAGAAAAAGAGUUGCUAAAGGAAGGAGGUCGGGUAUAUGCACUGUUUGUAGACCUAAAAGCCGCGUUUGAUACGGUGGACAGAAAGUGUUUGUGGGAAUGGAUGGAAAGAAGAGGACUGAGUGAACAGUUAAUUGUAGCAGCAAGAGAGAUUUAUAGAGAGACAGUGACUAGUGUGAGAGUGCGAGGAAUAGAAAGCGAAAUGUUUUGGACGACGAAAGGAUUGAGACAGGGAUGCCCAUUAAGUCCCAGUCUGUUUGCUUGUUACAUAAGCGAUAUCGAGGAAAUGUUUAGAGGAGUACAAGCGGGAGGAAUUGUGGUGGGGAGAGAAAAGGUAUGGUGUUUGGCAUUUGCAGAUGAUUUGGUAAUAUUGGCGAAGGAUGAAUGUGGAAUGAAUGAGAUGAAAAAAAAUCUGCAAAGAUACUUUAAAAGAAAGAAACUGGAGGUAAAUGUAGAAAAAACAAAAAUGAUGGUGUUUAGAAAAAAAGGGAGAAAAGGAUUAGGAUUUAAGUUUACAACAACUAACACGGUAAAAGAACACAUAAGAGAAAGAAGGUCAAAGCAAUGCAGAUAAUGGCAAUGGUGUGGAGUAUAGAUGAGAGAAUAUUUGGACAUGACGUAAGAAGAAGGAUGAAAAUGUUUGAUAGUUUAGUUAGGAGUGUAUUAAUGUAUGGAGUGGAGAUAUGGGGAUGGAAGGAAUAUGCAGAGAUUGAAGCAGUACAAGAAAAAUAUUUGAGGUGGAUGUUAGGGCUACGGAAAGAGACGCCAGGCUAUAUAGUAAGAGAAGAAUGUAAACGAGAGAAACUAAGAGUAUACACUGGGAAAAGAGCUGUAAAGUAUGAUGAAAGGUUGAAAGAAAGAGAGGAAUGUAGGAUAUUGUAUGAAUGCUGGAAGGAAAAAAAAAAGGAAGCCGGGAAAGAACAUCACAAGGGUAGACAAGGAUAUUAUGAAAGACUGGGAUACGCAUGGAUGGAAAUAGAGAGAAAGAGAAAAAUGGGGGUGAGUAUGAGAGAAGAGUUGUGUAUGCGUGGCAGAGACAUAGAUAAACAAGAGAGAAGAGCGAGUGUAAGUAAUUCUAGGUACAAUGCAGACUAUAGAAAGAUAAUAACAGAAACAAUACCAAAGUACCUAGACAGAGAAAGCGCGAAAGAAAAAAAAAUAAUUGCGAGAUUUAGGUGUGGAAAUGAAGAAAGAAAUAAUAAGUUUUGGGUAAGCGAAGGUGAGAGAAUGUGUAGGAUGUGUGGAGAAGAGCGAGAGAUGAUAGAGCACAUGCUACAUGACUGUGAGGAGAGCAAAGAAAGAGAGGAGAGUGUGACAGAGAUAUUGAAUGAAGACGAAAGAGGGGUGGAAUGGAUGAAAGAAGUGGAGAGGACAAGAGUAAGGCUGGGGCAAGAGGGGAUGGAGUAAAGGAAAGAAAAAUUAGUUAUUUAGUUUAUAAAAUGUAUUUAUUUGGUUUUUUGUUAACUAGGGAAAAAAUUGUAGUGUCAAGAAUCUUUUUAAGCCCGUAGGGUAAAAAAUAAACACUUACUACUUACUACUACUACAGUAGUUGCGAAAGCGGAACUCACGCUGGUUAUUUUGCGAAGACGAGGUAAAGAGUAUAAUAUGCGCCAGGUUUUUUUUUAAGGAAAAAUGUCAGAGCACGAAAAAAUAUGUAGGGUGUUCUGUUAAAAAAAAACGAACUUGUAUGUUGCGCUUCAAAAACAGAGAAAAUGGAAUUUGCCUAUCACAAAUUUUGACAUGACGAUAUUAUUAAAUUUUUGAGGGGGAUGACUAGACAAAUUUUGGUGAAUGUUUACGAUCUACACAAUAUUUUUAAAAUUAGUUUCAUUACAACCUAUCUAACAGUAGUUGCAGAGAUUAUUUGUCUAAUAGAGUUGCCAGAAGACGACAGAUAAGUGGAAAUGGGAAACUAUUUUUUCAUAUUCUAGGAUGUACGAAAGUCGACGGUCAAAUUAAAGAAAACAUUCUAAAAAUCCUUGUGGUGUGAUUAUAACAAAAUUUUGCACGGAUCUCGCACGUGAGAGUAAUCGGAAAUACUGUUUUCAACGAAGUAGAAAAAACAACUAAAAACUACAGGUGCAAGUUUGUCUUUUACUCACAAAAAGCAACAAGAAACCAUCAGUUGUGGCUGUUCUACCAACGAAUUUUAUUAAUUUGCCACGAAUAGUUCGAGUUCAGUAAAUAAAAUGACACAGUCUACGAGUAGUGCCAUAACGGAAGACUAUAUAGAUGACAAUUGGUCGGUGUCCAUCGCCCCAAUCACAAUCUCAUUGUUAACUUUCGACACCCUAAAAGCGGACUACUUCAAGGAAGGUUUCUUGAUAGGUGAAUUGAAAGAAAUGUCAGAAGUGGUACCGAUUAGCGAUGACGUUAAAAAACCAUACAUCCGUCGCUACAAAACCUUGUAUAUUAAAUCGUUCUUGCCGUGGCCGACAUUUCUUCGUUUCUACGACGGUUACGGGAGAGUCGUUCCUGAAAAGGUGGCGAGUUUGCUGGGAGAUUUGCUUCCAAAUGUGGUCGGCUGGUACCGAUGCAGACCAUUUCCUGGCACCAUGAUAACUAACCGCGAGACUAUGAUUCAGCAACAUCUUAGAAGUUUGGUGCCUCUGCUUCCAAAAUAUUUUGUUUUUUGUCUAGUAAUCAAAAACGAGGCCGGAAAUGGCAAUCCACUUUCUUUUGAUCAUAAGUUCUUCAACUACGACUCUAGGCGACGAGUUCCUACAAUUGUACCCUGGGGUAGUUAACGCAGCGGAGCUAGGUGUUGGAGUACAAGAAAUAAUAUCAGAGUUAAAGAACCGAAAAAAGAUGAGAAAAAUGCCUCUAUUCUUUGAUCCACGGCUAAACCAAAUUGCUGAGGAGCUUCUGUCGGUGGAAUUAGAGGCGAAUCGACUGGAAAAUGAACUCCGGCGUACCCGCUAACUAUAGUACUAGAUUGAUGGAUUUCUACAGAUAAAAUAAUCCACAGCGCACGUACCCAAAACGAUGUGAACAAUGUUAAAUGUAGGUUUUUUUUUGUAAUUCUGAGUGUAUGUGCUUGAUUUACCCAUGUUAUGUAUUUUUACCCUGAAAGGGUCGUUUUAAUUUAUUCAAAAUUUAAGGUA